UGUCGACAAUGGCAAACUUUCUCGAAAGAAAAGGACGCAAAGCCACGGGCCUAAAUAUUUUAGAUACAAGGUAGCCGGGUUGCCGAA
rfam:Planomicrobium sp. ES2 genome assembly, contig: CONTIG000001